rnacentral:rRNA from 1 species
UACGUAGGGCGCAAGCGUUAUCCGGAAUUAUUGGGCGUAAAGAGCUCGUAGGCGGUUUGUCGCGUCUGCCGUGAAAGUCCGGGGCUCAACUCCGGAUCUGCGGUGGGUACGGGCAGACUAGAGUGAUGUAGGGGAGACUGGAAUUCCUGGUGUAGCGGUGAAAUGCGCAGAUAUCAGGAGGAACACCGGUGGCGAAGGCGGAUCUCUGGGCCAUAACUGACGCUGAGGAGCGAAAGCAUGGGGAGCGAACAGG